rnacentral:rRNA from 1 species
UACGUAGGUGGCAAGCGUUGUCCGGAUUUACUGGGCGUAAAGAGCGCGCAGGCGGUCGUUCAAGUCGCGUGUGAAAGCCCCCGGCUCAACUGGGGAGGGUCACGCGAUACUGAUCGACUCGAAGGCAGGAGAGGGUAGUGGAAUUCCCGGUGUAGUGGUGAAAUGCGUAGGAUAUCGGGAGGAACACCAGUGGCGAAGGCGACUACCUGGCCUGUUCUUGACGCUGAGGCGGCGAAAGCUAGGGAGCAAACGGG